rnacentral:misc_RNA from 1 species
GAUGAAGAACGCAGUGAAAUGCGAUAAGUAAUGUGAAUUGCAGAAUUCAGUGAAUCAUCGAAUCUUUGAACGCACAUUGCGCCCUCUGGUAUUCCGGGGGGCAUGCCUGUUCGAGCGUCAUUAUAACCACUCAAGCUCUCGCUUGGUAUUGGGGUUCGCGGUUCCGCGGCCCCUAAAAUCAGUGGCGGUGCCUGUCGGCUCUACGCGUAGUAAUACUCCUCGCGAUUGAGCCCGGUAGGUCUACUUGCCAGCAACCCCCAAUUUUUACAGGUUGACCUCGGAUCAGGUAGGGAUACCCGCUGAACUUAAGCAUAUCAAUAAGCGGAGGA